rnacentral:tmRNA from 1 species
GGGCCUGAAAAGGUUUCGACGGGGUAUCUUAAGUCGAAGAAGCUAUCCGCAGGCGUGCGUUAAUCCCAAAAUUAAAAUUAAACGCUGAUUCUAACGAAUUCGCACUCGCUGCCUAAGCGCAGCGCGUCUCCCUUAGUGCACCUGCACAUUAAGUAAGAGGCGUCAAAUCUGCAGGAAACGGAUAUGCAAAGCUUUGAGCAUAUCGCAGAUUUAUGAAGCUACUGAACCCGAAACGUUGUUUGUGGCAUUUCGGCGGAGGGAAUGACUGACCACAGACUAUGAUAGUAGAAGGGCGAUGGCGGAUGUUUCGGACACGGGUUCAACUCCCGUCAGGUCCAC